rnacentral:rRNA from 1 species
AUUGAACGCUGGCGGCAGGCCUAACACAUGCAAGUCGAGCGAAUGAAGGGAGCUUGCUCCUGGAUUCAGCGGCGGACGGGUGAGUAAUGCCUAGGAAUCUGCCUGGUAGUGGGGGAUAACGUCCGGAAACGGGCGCUAAUACCGCAUACGUCCUGAGGGAGAAAGUGGGGGAGCUUCGGACCUCACGCUAUCAGAUGAGCCUAGGUCGGAUUAGCUAGUUGGUGGGGUAAAGGCCUACCAAGGCGACGAUCCGUAACUGGUCUGAGUGGAUGAUCAGUCACACUGGAACUGAGACACGGUCCAGACUCCUACGGGAGGCAGCAGUGGGGAAUAUUGGACAAUGGGCGAAAGCCUGAUCCAGCCAUGCCGCGUGUGUGAAGAAGGUCUUCGGAUUGUAAAGCACUUUAAGUUGGGAGGAAGGGCAGUAAGUUAAUACCUUGCUGUUUUGACGUUACCAACAGAAUAAGCACCGGCUAACUUCGUG